rnacentral:rRNA from 1 species
AGCGAACGCUAGCGGCAGGCUUAAUACAUGCAAGUCGAGGGGCAGCAUGAUUGUAGCAAUACAAUUGAUGGCGACCGGCAAACGGGUGCGGAACACGUACACAACCUUCCAACAAGUGGGGGAUAGCCCAGAGAAAUUUGGAUUAAUACCCCGUAACAUAGCGAUGUGGCAUCACAUUGCUAUUAUAGAUUUUUCGCUUGUUGAUGGGUGUGCGGCUGAUUAGAUAGUUGGCGGGGUAACGGCCCACCAAGUCUACGAUCAGUAGCUGAUGUGAGAGCAUGAUCAGCCACACGGGCACUGAGACACGGGCCCGACUCCUACGGGAGGCAGCAAUAAGGAAUAUUGGACAAUGGACGCAAGUCUGAUCCAGCCAUGCCGCGUGAAGGAUUAAGGUCCUCUGGAUUGUAAACUUCUUUUAUAAGGGACGAAAAAAGGCUUUUCUAAGUCGUCUGACGGUACCUUAUGAAUAAGCACCGGCUAACUCCGUGCCAGCCGCCGCAGUAAAAC